ACCAUGACUGUGCUGGGGCUGCUCCUCUGCCUGCUGGCUGCUCCCUGCUGUGUGUGGGCCCAGGUGCAGAUGAAGGAGUCAGGACCUGGCCUGGUGAGGCCUACAGAGACCCUGUCCCUCACCUGCACUGUGUCUGGAUUAUCUUUAACCAUCAAUGGUGUGAACUGGAUCCGCCAGCCGCCAGGAAAGGGUCUGGAAUGGAUCGGUGCAAUAUGGGCUGGUGGAGGCACAGAUUAUAAUUCAGCUCUCAAAUCCCGAGUCAGUAUCACCAGGGACACCUCCAAAAGCCAAGUUUUCCUGAAACUGAACACCCUGCAGUCUGAGGACACAGCCAUGUAUUUCUGUGCCAGAGACACAGUGAGGGGAAUGCAGUGUGAGCCCAGACACAAACCUCCCAGCUCAAAGUGCUCAGGACCAGUAGAGGGCACUGAGGAACUUCAGGGCUGCUCAGUACUAACCAUGGUUCCUGGGGACCUGGAGGCCUUCCUCAGAAUGCACUGGAUUCUCAGUGUACCCGGUGUGCUUCCAAACCCACAGUUGGCACCUGUGGCUGGUUAA